AGCGAACGCUGGCGGCAGGCCUAACACAUGCAAGUCGAACGAACUCUUCGGAGUUAGUGGCGGACGGGUGAGUAACACGUGGGAACGUGCCUUUUGGUUCGGAAUAACUCAGGGAAACUUGUGCUAAUACCGAAUGUGCCCUUCGGGGGAAAGAUUUAUCGCCAUUAGAGCGGCCCGCGUCUGAUUAGCUAGUUGGUGAGGUAACGGCUCACCAAGGCGACGAUCAGUAGCUGGUCUGAGAGGAUGACCAGCCACACUGGGACUGAGACACGGCCCAGACUCCUACGGGAGGCAGCAGUGGGGAAUCUGGCGCAAUGGGCGAAAGCCUGACGCAGCCAUGCCGCGUGAAUGAUGAAGGUCUUAGGAUUGUAAAAUUCUUUCACCGGGGACGAUAAUGACGGUACCCGGAGAAGAAGCCCCGGCUAACUUCGUG
rnacentral:rRNA from 1 species